rfam:Jonesia denitrificans DSM 20603, complete genome.
GCGGAUGUGGCUCAGUGGUAGAGCAUCACCUUGCCAAGGUGAGGGUCGCGGGUUCGAAUCCCGUCAUCCGCU